GGAUGAUCAAGGGGCAGGGCCAGUUCGCCUGCUUUCCUGCCCGCAGGGUCCACUCUCCCACACCUGGAUCAUCAGGGCCAGCUCUACUGUGUGGCCUAGGUCUUUAAAUUUUGUUUUGUUUUUGUCAACUUGACACAAGCUGGAGUCAUCUAAGAGACCCUCAGUUGAGAAAAUGGUCCCAUCAGACUGCCCUGUAGGAAGGGCCCAGCUCACUGUGAGUGGUACCAGACUUGGACAAGUGGUCCUGGGGUGUGUAAGAAAGCAAACUGAGCAAGCCUGGCGUGCAAGCCAUUAAGCAGCCCUCCUUCAUGGUCUCUGCUUCAGUUCCUGCCUCUAGAUUCCUGCCUUGAGUUCCUUACCUGACUUCCUUCAUGAUGGACUAUGAGCUGUUUGAUCAAUGGUUUUUGAUUGUUUGUUUUUGUUUUGUUUUAUCACAGAAGUAGAAAGCAAACUAAAUCACUAUCUAGGACUUCCUACCUCCAGAAUUGUGAAAAAUGAAUGUUUAAUCUUUUAAUGUAACAUCAAUGGAGACAUUAGAGGUUAAAUGUUGUAAAUCUAUGUUAUCACAUUUUAGUACACAUAUGCAACAUAAAUAAAUGUUUAAAAAGUA